rnacentral:misc_RNA from 1 species
GAUGAAGAACGCAGCGAAAUGCGAUAAGUGAUGUGAAUUGCAGAAUUCAGUGAAUCAUCGAGUCUUUGAACGCACAUUGCGCCCCCUGGUAUUCCGGGGGGCAUGCCUGUCCGAGCGUCAUUGCUGCCCUCAAGCACGGCUUGUGUGUUGGGCCGUCGUCCCCCUCCUAGGGGACGGGCCCGAAAGGCAGCGGCGGCACCGCGUCCGGUCCUCGAGCGUAUGGGGCUUCGUCACCCGCUCCGUAGGCCCGGCCGGCGCUUGCCGACGACCAUCAAUCUCUUUCUCCAGGUUGACCUCGGAUCAGGUAGGGAUACCCGCUGAACUUAAGCAUAUCAAUAAGCGGAGGA